UGUGGGAGCGGGCUUGCUCGCGAAUGCGGUGGAUCAGUCAGCGCAUCUGGUGACUGAAACUCCCAUUCGCGAGCAAGCCCGCUCCCACA
rnacentral:misc_RNA from 1 species